UGGUGUUGAUUGCGGCGAGGGUCCACCCGUUCCCAUACCGAACACGGAAGUUAAGCUCGCACGGCGCUUACGAUACUUGGCGGGAAGCUGCCCGGGAAAAUAAGUAGAUGCC
rnacentral:rRNA from 1 species